CCGCCAUCUUGGCAGCGCGGCCGCCGCGGGGAAGGGCUGCGGGGAGCCUCGCCCGCCAGGUGGCGCUCGGGCGGGUGCAGACCAGAAGUGAUACAUCAGAGAUCCUGGAUGAGACCUUUCCCCUGAUUAAAGACAAGUGAUGGAAAUGAACCACAUAUGUGCCAAAGUGCAUAAACUAGAGGCAUUUGUUAAAAUGGGUUGCACACCAUUUUCCCCCUUGAAGAGCAAGUGCUUGAAGCAGAGAAGAGCCGUGGCACCGUUCUUAAUGCAGUUUGCAAAUUACUUCAGUGUGCAAUUGUCUCGUCGUUGAAAAAUAGACAUCGUCUGUCAGCAGCACACCCCUGUGACCUACCCAAACAACUGAACCGGAGACCUUUUUUCCUAUGAACUAUGUAGGUACCAAGUAUCAAAGUAAUUAAUUUUUGGCUACAAAAGAGUUUUUGGGAAAGGCUGUCUGAGUUUAUUCUCUGUUCAUACUUUGUGACAUUAGGAAGAAGCAACUGUUACAUUUCAGAUCUUUGGCUAGCAUCUGCAAGGGAAGCUAAAAGUUUCUGAUCAUAUUGUACUAGCUAUAUGGAGGCUGGAACGUAUAUUCUAAGAUUUGAUCACAGUAGUUUGCACUUGAAAUCAAUGGAGAGAAUGUACAAACCCUCACUUUGUUUAUCUUCACGUUUUUAUACGUCAGAUGGUCAGAAGGGUGAAGAGUGCUUUAGAAGCCUGUUGAAGCUGUCCGGUGCUAAUGGUGCCAGCUUCGCUGACGCACAAAUGAUCAGAUUUUACAAGAGAAGUCAAUGUCAGAAUUUAAAAAUUCAGUAAGAGCACAUGGCUGAAGCUCUGAGCACUCCACUUCAAAACAGGAAUAGGGGUUUAUGAGCUGUUGUGUAAUAAAAGUUGAAUGGUAUAAAUAAACUAUCUGCAAAGCUGUUAUGGAGCUUUGGGUGUGCUGCUUUGUGACGCAGAUGCUCUUCAGGCAGGACCAGGAGUAGCACAGUUCAUCUCUGCACCUGUAGCUUUAUUUAUUUCAAAUUAGAUGUAAAAAACCCAAACCCACUCAGUUUUCUGAAUAAGGAGCAUUAGGAAGAGGUUAUGCACUUUCCAGAUGAUUGGCUUUGCAUACAUUCAUACAGCCCAGUGUGCAGAUAGAAAUAAAUGCUCUUGUUUUAAAAAUACCUGUUAAAAAGCUCAAGAUGGAGGAUCCAAUGCAAAUUCUGUGAAGGGGAAAAAAAUCAGCUUAUGGUGCAAGUAAAGCUACAUGGCUGUAACCAUGGAGACCAAUGCUUUUCUGCUGCAGAAAUAAAUGAACUCAACCUUUUCAUAUUUAUUAGUGGGACUGAUGAUGAAAGAUAAAGUCAAAUUAAAACAUAAAGCACUAGAAGUCAGGUCUAGUCACUGUCUCUGCCCCUGCAAUGCAGGUUACUGUAAUGGAUUAUUAUAAACAAGCUGGUGUUACAGUGAGGCAGGUAAGUUAUGAGAGGAACAGAACACACUUUAGUUAUACCAACCUGUUUAUCCAAGUAUCAGUUGCUUUAUUAACAGAAAUGAAGAGGCAGUUCACAGAACAAACUCCUGAAAUCUUUUGGUUUUGAUAAAAAUGGAAAUAAACUUGUUUUAAUACCA